rnacentral:tRNA from 1 species
GGUUGUGGCUCAGUGGUAGAGCACCUGUCUUGCACGCAUGAGGCACUGGGUUCAAUCCUCAGCGCCA